GUUUGAUCCUGCCAGACCCGACUGCUAUCUAGCAGUGGGACUAAGCCAUGCGAGUCAACAUAGCAAUAUGUGGCAUACGGCUCAGUAACACGUAGUCAACAUGCCCAGGGGACGUGGAUAACCUCGGGAAACUGAGGAUAAACCGCGAUAGGUCAUCACUUCUGGAAUGGGUAAUGACUUAAACCUAUAUGGCCCCUGGAUUGGACUGCGGCCGAUCAGGCUGUUGGUGAGGUAAUGGCCCACCAAACCUGUAACCGGUACGGGCUCUGAGAGGAGGAGCCCGGAGAUGGGCACUGAGACAAGGGCCCAGGCCCUAUGGGGCGCAGCAGGCGCGAAACCUCUGCAAUAGGCGAAAGCUUGACAGGGUUACUCUGAGUGAUUUCCGUUAAGGAGAUCUUUUGGCACCUCUAAAAAUGGUGCAGAAUAAGGGGUGGGCAAGUCUGGUGUCAGCCGCCGCGGUAAUACCAGCACCCCGAGUGGUCGGGACGUUUAUUGGGCCUAAAGCAUCCGUAGCCGGUUCUACAAGUCUUCCGUUAAAUCCACCUGCUUAACAGAUGGGCUGCGGAAGAUACUAUAGAGCUAGGAGGCGGGAGAGGCAAGCGGUACUCGAUGGGUAGGGGUAAAAUCCGUUGAUCCAUUGAAGACCACCAGUGGCGAAGGCGGCUUGCCAGAACGCGCUCGACGGUGAGGGAUGAAAGCUGGGGGAGCAAACCGGAUUAGAUACCCGGGUAGUCCCAGCUGUAAACGAUGCAGACUCGGUGAUGAGUUGGC
rnacentral:rRNA from 1 species